ensembl:snoRNA
ACUCUUUUUCUUGCCUGCAUCCAGGCGAGCGGUCCUGCUUCCAGUUAUGUGCACAGGCACAGUGAAAGGACCCUCCCAGGGGCAUGUCUUCAGUGCCAGGGGAAUCUGGUUCGCAGGUUCUAUCCUCAAAUUCCAGACAUUU